GUAAAGACAGUUCUCGAGAUCCUGGGCCUCAGGGACCAAAUUAAAAAAGCAGCACCACUUAAUUCAAAAUCAGAUGAAUGUCAGUAGGAUGUUUGUCAAACAAACUUGUCAUCAUUUGUCACAAUUUGAGGAAGUCUCAGUCAGUAGUCACACUUGAACGUGUAACAGAGUUAUUUAUAGCCGCCAGUCUCCAGUUUUAAGUAAAUGCAGGGCCGGGUUCGGUGUUAUAAACAGCUUUAUUUAUAAUGAUUGUGCGGCUAUAAAUAGUUUGGUGUGCUGGGUGUAGCAGAGUGGCUCGGCUCAGGGCUGCCAGAGCCAGGAGGGAAGCCACAGGAGGAGGGAAGUGCAUCCUCCUGCGUCUUCCUCUUCUCGGCGGACCCUCUCUGUGAGUCCUUGGCCGGGAAGGUAUUUGAUCCUCUUCCUCGAUGUCCCUCGUGGAACGAGAAGUUGUGCACAACGGUGUUCCCAGGAGAAGUACAGCUGAAGUCUAUUAGGUAGGACGGUACAAAUCAGGGAGAGAAGAACCUUGCAAGAAAUUGACUUCACGAUGUCAUCUUAGCAUCCUUGAGACACGCGCUGAGCCCCUGUAAGCGCAAAGUAGUCACAGCCGGAGAUUUGGGGCAGAAGGACACAGGCAAGCAAUCCUUCUUGGAAAAGGGAUUACUUUUUUUUUUUUUUGCUGUAUCAUCAGCAACCUCUUCAUUGUCGUCAUCAUCAUUAUUGCAAUUUUUGUCCAAGAGCGCCGUGAGAUGCAUCCUAUUGGAACCCGUCCCCCUCGAGCUGUAGCAAGGACAGCCUGCCCAAGUAAGCUGCCGACUAACACUCAGAAGACGCAGGUCAUGGAUGCAGAGGAGCUAAGGUCAAGGGACUCUGAGGGGGUGCUUCUCAUCCUGACCUGGGUGCUAGGGAGGGCAUCCCGGAGGAGAGGGCCCCCGGGGUUGAAUCCUGCAGGUGGUUCCUUAGGGCAGCGACUGUGUCUUUUUGUUUCUGCAUAGACACCUGUGACGCGGAAGGCACGUGGUAAAUAUUUGCAGAGAGAACCAACGAAGGUUUACUCUCUUUUUAAAUCUCCCCGAUGCCGAGUACUAGCUGAGAAGGAUGUGGUAUACGUGCCUUAGUUCAGGCCCUUUGGCUACGCAUUCUUGGAACUCGAAGUGUUUGGAGCUUCAGGACGUCAUUAGCUCCUUCCAUUCUGUUCCCCUCCUUUGACCAAGUGACUGGUUGGAAGCCAUUUGCUUUUCUAAGAGAACGGAGCUGGGAUAGAGUGUCUCUUGCCUUCCAGAAACGAGAACUCAUGUUUUUUGGAGAUGGAGAGACACGCCCAUUAUAAAGGAGGAACAGCAGGGGUGACCCAGGGUGGGAGUGAUCUCCGCCAGCAGGGACCCUGCCCCCGAGAUGGACGCAGGUCAAAUGGCGUUUGAGGAACCGAAGAACGUUGGGAGGGAAUUCUAGAAGCCUCUGAUCAGGAGAGUGGAGGCCCAGAGAGAUGUGAAUCACUCACUGCAAGUCACAGGCAUCAGCUCGAAGCCUAGAUGGAAAACGAACCUCACCGAUUUCAAAGUCUGUCCUGUCCAUGUCACUGACCCAGCUAAACUUUACGGGACUACAUUUUCCCCUACACUUCUCUCCCUGACUUCAGCUCGCUGGUGAUGGGCUGUGUGUAAGUGUCUGGAAAUCGAUGUAUUUUAAGGAAUCGUUUCGAGUGAUGUCGGAGGCUUGACAACUUUGGAAUCUGCAGGCAGGCCAACAGGCUGGGAGAAGACCCAGGGAGAAGCUAAUGUUGCAGCUGGAGUUUGAAGGCAGUCUGGAGGCAGAGAUUCCUUUUCCUUGGGGGAAACCUCAGUCUUUUUUUUUUUUUUUCUUAAGACCUUCAACUGAUUGGGUGAGGCCCACCCACAUUAUAAAGGGUAAUCUGCUUUACUCAAUGUCUAGUGAUUUAAAUGCUAAUCUCACCUAAAAAGUACCUUCCUAGUGAUAUCUAGACUGGUGUUUGACCAAAUAUCUGGGUACUGUGACCUCGCUGAGUUGACAUAUGGCAUUAGCCAUCACAUGGGGCUAAUAAGAUCUAUCUCCUAAGAUUGAAGGGGGGUAUCCGUGAGCUGAUGUAGAAAAAGAGCUUGGGCACAGGUAAGUUCCGGCUACAUAUUACCCGUUGUUCUUCCCCGGAACUGGACGUGCUGUCUCUGGCUUUGGCUCGGACGGGUCAUUUCUGUCCGUGGACUGGCCCUCUGGCAGCCGGCAGGUUUGAGUUCUGUCCCAUCUGCUUCUUGCGGCUGCCGUAAAGUCCGGGUGCCUCCUGUGUGGCCCCCCGCGUCUGGGAGGAGAUUUAUGUAUCCUGUUUCCCAGGAUAAAUUAGGAUCCUGGGCGCUGCCUCCCAUGGACGGCCUCGGUAGAGGCCCAGGAGGGGAAAUACCGCAGGGAAGGGCGGCUGAGGACGGCUGAAAUGGCAGGGCAAGAAUGCCACCCAGAGAAUCUUUGUUGUUUAUACCGGUGGCAGGAAACAAACAUAAUGCUCUUUAAUUUUCCUUGGCAGGGUCUGAGGCGCCUCGCGGCUGCCAUCCUGUCUGCCUGGCCACGCUGCACCCCCACUUCCCCCAGCCUCAGGUGGACGGGCCCCCCAGCAAAUGCCUUUCCUGGAAACAUGAGGCCGCCACAGCCCUCCGCCGCCCGACCCCCUCUGCGUUCAAGCCUCUGCUCUGUCUCCACCGGCCAGCCGUGCCCGCCCCCCCACCCCGACCUCACCCUGACACAGGGAGAGACCCUUGAUGGCCAGACGUGCAUUGCAAGCCCCAACCUACGCUCCGUUUGGAAACAGGAGAAUUUUCAUUUUGCUUUGGUUUGAGGGGGGCGGGUAAAACUGGGACACAUGCAAAAGAUCUAGGCGGACAAUGGGGAGGGCGAGAUGGGGAGGAAA